rnacentral:rRNA from 1 species
UGGGGGAUAUUGCACAAUGGGGGAAACCCUGAUGCAGCAACGCCGCGUGAGUGAAGAAGUAUUUCGGUAUGUAAAGCUCUAUCAGCAGGGAAGAAAAUGACAGUACCUGACUAAGGAGCCCCGGCUAACUACGUGCCAGCAGCCGCGGUAAUACGUAGGGGGCAAGCGUUAUCCGGAUUUACUGGGUGUAAAGGGAGCGUAGACGGCUGUGCAAGUCAGAAGUGAAAGCCCGGGGCUCAACCGCGGGACUGCUUUUGAAACUGUGUAGCUAGAGUGCAGGAGAGGUAAGUGGAAUUCCUAGUGUAGCGGUGAAAUGCGUAGAUAUUAGGAGGAACACCGGUGGCGAAGGCGGCUUACUGGACUGUAACUGACGUUGAGGCUCGAAAGCGUGGGGAGCAAACAGG